GGCGGCGUGCUUAACACAUGCAAGUCGUGCGCGAAGGUGGCUUCGGCUGCCGGAGAGCGGCGAACGGGUGAGUAACACGUGGGUAAUCUGCCUGGGAGCGUGGGAUAACCUGGGGAAACUCGGGCUAAUACCGCGUACGUUGAUGGGACUACGGUUUUGUCAAGAAAGCUGGCCUCUGUUUACAAGCUAGCGCUCCCAGAGGAGCCCGCGGCUGAUUAGCUAGUUGGUGAGGUAAAGGCUCACCAAGGCUUCGAUCAGUAGCCGGCCUGAGAGGGUGAUCGGCCACACUGGGACUGAGACACGGCCCAGACUCCUACGGGAGGCAGCAGUGGGGAAUAUUGGACAAUGGGCGCAAGCCUGAUCCAGCAACGCCGCGUGGAGGAUGAAGGUCUUCGGAUCGUAAACUCCUGUCAGAUGGGACGAAGGCUUGGAGGCGAACAGUUUCCGAGUUUGACGGUACCAUCAGAGGAAGCCCCGGCUAACUCCGUGCCAGCAGCCGCGGUAAUACGGAGGGGGCGAGCGUUAUUCGGAAUUAUUGGGCGUAAAGGGCGCGUA
rnacentral:rRNA from 1 species